AGGAUGAACGUUGGCGGCAUGCCUAACACAUGCAAGUCGAACGCAAGGCUUCGGCCUUGAGUGGCGGACGGGUGCGUAACACGUAGGUGAUCUGGCCUCUAGUGGGGGAUAACUGCCGGAAACGGUAGCUAAUACCGCAUACGCUCUCUCUGUUUUGAAAGGGGAGAUGAAAGCUUGAUGUGCUAGAGGGGGAGCCUGCGGCCUAUCAGGUAGUUGGUGGGGUAAAAGCCUACCAAGCCGAUGACGGGUAGCUGACCUGAGAGGGUGGUCAGCCACAGGGGAACUGAGAAACGGUCCCCACUCCUACGGAGGCAGCAGUGAGGAAUAUUGGGCAAGUGGGGGCAACCCUGACCCAGCAAUGCCGCGUG
rnacentral:rRNA from 1 species